rnacentral:rRNA from 1 species
UACGGAGGAUCCAAGCGUUGUCCGGAUUUAUUGGGUUUAAAGGGUGCGUAGGUGGUCUAUUAAGUCAGUGCUGAAAUAUCCCGGCUUAACCGGGAGGGUGGCAUUGAUACUGAUAGACUUGAGUAGAGUUGAGGUAGGCGGAAUUGACGGUGUAGCGGUGAAAUGCUUAGAUAUCGUCAAGAACACCAAUAGCGAAGGCAGCUUACUAAGCUCUAACUGACACUGAUGCACGAAAGUGUGGGGAUCAAACAGG